rnacentral:rRNA from 1 species
GAGCGAACAGAUAAGGAGCUUGCUCCUUUGACGUUAGCGGCGGACGGGUGAGUAACACGUGGGUAACCUACCUAUAAGACUGGGAUAACUUCGGGAAACCGGAGCUAAUACCGGAUAACAUUUGGAACCGCAUGGUUCUAAAGUGAAAGAUGGUUUUGCUAUCACUUAUAGAUGGACCCGCGCCGUAUUAGCUAGUUGGUAAGGUAACGGCUUACCAAGGCGACGAUACGUAGCCGACCUGAGAGGGUGAUCGGCCACACUGGAACUGAGACACGGUCCAGACUCCUACGGGAGGCAGCAGUAGGGAAUCUUCCGCAAUGGGCGAAAGCCUGACGGAGCAACGCCGCGUGAGUGAUGAAGGGUUUCGGCUCGUAAAACUCUGUUAUUAGGGAAGAACAAAUGUGUAAGUAACUGUGCACGUCUUGACGGUACCUAAUCAGAAAGCCACGGCUAACUACGUGCCAGCAGCCGCGGUAAUACGUAGGUGGCAAGCGUUAUCCGGAAUUAUUGGGCGUAAAGCGCGCGUAGGCGGUUUCUUAAGUCUGAUGUGAAAGCCCACGGCUCAACCGUGGAGGGUCAUUGGAAACUGGGAAACUUGAGUGCAGAAGAGGAAAGUGGAAUUCCAUGUGUAGCGGUGAAAUGCGCAGAGAUAUGGAGGAACACCAGUGGCGAAGGCGACUUUCUGGUCUGUAACUGACGCUGAUGUGCGAAAGCGUGGGGAUCAAACAGGAUUAGAUACCCUGGUAGUCCACGCCGUAAACGAUGAGUGCUAAGUGUUAGGGGGUUUCCGCCCCUUAGUGCUGCAGCUAACGCAUUAAGCACUCCGCCUGGGGAGUACGACCGCAAGGUUGAAACUCAAAGGAAUUGACGGGGACCCGCACAAGCGGUGGAGCAUGUGGUUUAAUUCGAAGCAACGCGAAGAACCUUACCAAAUCUUGACAUCCUUUGAAAACUCUAGAGAUAGAGCUUUCCCCUUCGGGGGACAAAGUGACAGGUGGUGCAUGGUUGUCGUCAGCUCGUGUCGUGAGAUGUUGGGUUAAGUCCCGCAACGAGCGCAACCCUUAAGCUUAGUUGCCAUCAUUAAGUUGGGCACUCUAGGUUGACUGCCGGUGACAAACCGGAGGAAGGUGGGGAUGACGUCAAAUCAUCAUGCCCCUUAUGAUUUGGGCUACACACGUGCUACAAUGGACAAUACAAAGGGCAGCUAAACCGCGAGGUCAUGCAAAUCCCAUAAAGUUGUUCUCAGUUCGGAUUGUAGUCUGCAACUCGACUACAUGAAGCUGGAAUCGCUAGUAAUCGUAGAUCAGCAUGCUACGGUGAAUACGUUCCCGGGUCUUGUACACACCGCCCGUCACACCACGAGAGUUUGUAACACCCGAAGCCGGUGGAGUAACCAUUUAUGGAG